UACGUAGGGGGCAAGCGUUGUCCGGAUUUAUUGGGCGUAAAGAGCGUGUAGGCGGCCAAACAGGUCAGCUGUGAAAACUCGAGGCUCAACCUCGAGACGUCGGUUGAAACCACCUGGCUAGAGUCCGGAAGAGGAGUGUGGAAUUCCCGGUGUAGCGGUGAAAUGCGCAGAUAUCGGGAAGAACACCCGUGGCGAAGGCGGCACUCUGGGACGGUACUGACGCUGAGACGCGAAAAGCGUGGGGGAGCAAACAGG
rnacentral:rRNA from 1 species